CAAGACGAGAGCAGCUUGGGUUCAUCACAUGCUCCUAAAAGCCAGCUCUUGCCUGGCGCAGAGCAAGGAAAGGAAGCAUAAAGGGCUUAUUUAAGUGAUCAGCAGCCAACUCAAAUUAAUCAUUUCUGAAGGUAGCGUGGCUAGACAAGCAAGGGGAGACUCAGUAAAUCCUGAUGGAUCGGAGUCAGCGUGGUGCCAGGGCCAGCGUGCUGGGCAUGUGGACCGAGGUGAUGGAUGACUGGGGGAGCGCCAGUGGAGAGCAAUCUCUCUGCCCAUAUGGGCUGGUGGCGAUGGCAGGAGGCGACUGGGUGAUGGCACUCUGAACGCCAGGCGCGCUUUGGCCGGCCACCAGGACCUGUCAUCACCCCCUCGCCUGCUGGGCCCUCCAAACCUCCGUGCCUGAGAGAGAGAGAGAGAGAGAGAGAGAGAGAGAGAGAGAGAGAGAGAGAGGAGAGAAACUGACUGCCACUGCCCACUAACAAGGCUGGAGUGUCCUUUUCUAAAUAUACUAUGGUAAAUAUGCCAAGAAAAGGUUCACAAGCUCUCUGAAGUGGAAGAAAAAAAAAACCUCUAUGGAUAUAUAUAACCACACGGUUAUUAAAGAUGAUUGAGUCUUUGCCGUUUAGGUUAUGCCGGAAAUGUGAUUAUGGUGGCCAAAAAUAAAGAAAAUAAAAAAAAUAAAUAAAUAAACUGCCAUUAAUAUAAUCUGAGCAGGCAGGGAAACUGCACAUGUGAAGGAAGAGGCCAGAGGAUCUUGCGUCAGAGGCUUGGAUGCUGCCGUCUCAAAUGCAAUAGAAUGUGAAAUGAAAAUAGAGCAAAGGCUCAGCUCUGUUCUGCAUGGAGAUUUAUAGACUUGGAUGCAACUCUGAGGUGCCUGUGUACAAAUGAUUUAUCAAUUCGUUUUACAUCUGUGCUCACAAAAAAAAGUACUGGCUUUCACCCACUGAAAUGGAGACCAGACUAGACCAUGAAACUUUGCCAUAUAUAUCUUAAUAUUGACCCUUGGGUCAUACAGCCCGGGUGCCAUAAUACCAUGGACCUAACACCAGCCUUAAGGGGAAAUAGUCAUGUAGUGAUGCUGGAACUUCAUUGGUUUUACUAGCUUGGCCUAUUGACAGCAGCCUGAUCGAAUCAAAGCAUAUCACAGCUGAAAUAUGACAAAAUAGUUCUUCAGGCCUUGAAUGCUCUGCAGGGUUAGGAAAAAAGGUUCUGUACAGGUACAAUUUUCAUUCAUCAAGUUACACACAAUGUAAAUGUUCCCUCAAAGGUACAACAGUGUGUUUAAGGUCUGAUUGUGAGCCUUAAAUAAGUUUUACCAGGUGAAAAGUACAUAUUUGUACCUUUUCAUAACCGAAUGUUUUAAAACAGAACAAUAAAAUAAAAGCCUGGAGACGAGACGGGGUGUGUGGAGUCCGUACAAGUUAUAUAUAUGAUCAGUGGAUUAUGGUACAGUUACAUUCCCUGACUUAAGGUACUGAGUUGUACCCUUGAGGGUACCAGCCCAGUGCUGGGGUGGGGGGUGGGAGUUACUGCCCCACUGACAGUUUAGUAUCUUUCCGAGAGUGUGUGUGCCAUUAUGAUGAACAAUUUCACCUUACUAGUCUGUUUUCAUUUGGGUGGACAGAUCUAUAUUUUUAUUCUAUAUUGUACUUAUAGAUAGAUAUAAUGUACAGUUGAUAUAUGAUCAAAUAGCCUAACGUUGGAUGCUCUUAAAUAAUGAAUGGAAACAAUCACAUUUUUAUUCAGAAGUUAGCAACCCUUCAAAGGGCAAGUCUAGUUAGCAUAUUUAUUAUGCCAAUUAGCUAAUGUAGACAUCUAGCCACGACUAAGCUGUCUUCCAUAAGGAAUUGGGUAAAAAAAUCCCAAAGAAAUGAAAUGUGUGGCUAAUGUAUGGCAGUCAUGUAGAAGUGUUGUCAAAGUGUAACUGUAAAUAACUGUAAAUAAAAGUGGACUGUAUUGUUCU